UCCACAGCUUUGUUGCCUGUGGAGCCGGGAUUCAGAACCAGGUCUCUUUGACUUUAAGGUUUUGGUCUCCUGUCUACCUGUUUCCUCUAGUCUACGCAGCCAGGAGUGAAUAGCCUAUUAAUAGAUCCACAGGCACAGUUUAAAGCUGUGGCAGGCUUGAGGAUCUCGGCCAACAAUUUAGCAGAGUUUUGCAGACCCUCACUGGAUUUGUGGGAGACUCUUCUGAGGAUUCUGACUGAAGCCAGGAGUGGCGACUUUCCGUGUCUGAAUUAUGCUUUUGGCUGGCCUUCACUUCAGAGACAAGAAGGAAGACGAAAAUGAAAAGUAAUUGGAGGGAAAUGCAGUGGGAUGUGACCGAAGUCAAAGGACAAGGCCCGUGAGACAUUCGUUUCAGCCCUGUGAAACUCUGCCGAUGCAGCACACACAACUCGUACUCGGGUCUGGGAAGACCAAGAGGAAGGCACAGCAGAUGUCCUUUGUCUCCUGUGGUGGGGGACCUCCUGUUUGGGCAUGCUGAAAUCAUUCUGAACA